AGCAGGCUUAGCCUGGCCGUGAGUGUUCACACAAAUUACUUGUAAUAUCUUACUUGAAGUAAUUGCUCUUUAAAAACGAGGGGAAGUUAAGUGAAGAAGGCGCGCACGAGCGAAGAGCUUGUGUGGGGUAUGUGGAAUGGCGGUAUAAGCCCAGGUUGUUUGGGGUUAUAU
rnacentral:misc_RNA from 1 species